AAGUUGUGUAGUGCGAUCGGUGGAUGCCUUGGCACCAAGAGCCGAUGAAGGACGUUGUGACCUGCGAUAAGCCCUGGGGAGUUGGUGAGCGAGCUGUGAUCCGGGGGUGUCCGAAUGGGGAAACCUGGAAUGUCCGGAGUAGUGUCCGGUGGCCCUGCCCUGAAUGUAUAGGGGUGUGGGUGGUAACGCGGGGAAGUGAAACAUCUUAGUACCCGUAGGAAGAGAAAACAAGUGUGAUUCCGUGAGUAGUGGCGAGCGAAAGCGGAGGAGGCUAAACCGUGUGUGUGUUCAAGCCGGCAGGUGUUGCAUGUGCGGGGUUGUGGGGGCCUUGUGGUUCUGCUGCCGCAGGAUUGGCCAGUGAGAAAUGUUGCGUGAAGGUGAAGCGUCUGGGAAGGCGUACCGGAGUGGGUGAGAGUCCUGUAACUGUAAGCGUGGCACUGGUGUGGGGUUGCCCCGAGUAGCGUGGGACUCGUGGAAUUUCGCGUGAAUCUGGCGGGACCACCCGUCAAGCCUAAAUACUCCUUGGUGACCGAUAGUGGAUGAGUACCGUGAGGGAAGGGUGAAAAGUACCCCGGGAGGGGAGUGAAAGAGUUCCUGAAACCGGUCGCAUGCAAGCCGUCAGAGCCUGUGUGGUGAUGGCGUGCCUUUUGAAGAAUGAGCCUGCGAGUUAGUGAUGCGUGGCGAGGUUAACCCGUGGUGGGGGAGUCGUAGCGAAAGCGAGUCCGAUAAGGGCGUGAGUCGCGUGUUCUAGACCCGAAGCGGUGUGAUCUAUCCAUGGCCAGGAUGAAGCGUCGGUAAGACGUCGUGGAGGUCCGAACCCACUUCAGUUAAAAAUGGAGGGGAUGAGUUGUGGAUAGGGGUGAAAGGCCAAUCAAACACCGUGAUAGCUGGUUCUCCCCGAAAUGCAUUUAGGUGCAGCGUUGCGUGGUUCUUGUUGGAGGUAGAGCACUGGAUGGUCUAGGGGGCUUAUCGGCUUACCGAAAUCAGCCAAACUCCGAAUGCUGGCAAGCGUAGCGUGGCAGUGAGACGGCGGGGGAUAAGCUUCGUCGUCGAGAGGGAAACAGCCCAGAUCAUCAGCUAAGGCCCCUAAGUGGUGACUCAGUGGGAAAGGAUGUGGAGUUGCGUAGACAACCAGGAGGUUGGCUUGGAAGCAGCCAUCCUUGAAAGAGUGCGUAAUAGCUCACUGGUCAAGUGAUUCCGCGCCGAUAAUGUAGCGGGGCUUAAGUUAUCCGCCGAAGCUGUGGCAACCUGUGUGGUUGGGUAGGGGAGCGUCGUGUCAGUGGUGAAGCUGCCGGGUGACUGUGUGGUGGAGUUGAUGCGAGUGAGAAUGCAGGCAUGAGUAGCGUGUGACGGGUGGGAAUCCCGUCCGCCGAUUAUCCAAGGGUUCCAGGGUCAAGUUUGUCUGCCCUGGGUGAGUCGGGUCCUAAGGCGAGGCCGACAGGCGUAGUCGAUGGGUAACCAGUUGAUAUUCUGGUACCGGCUUGUCACCGUCCGUGUCGAGGUGUGUGAUGCUAAGCAUGUGAGCUUGUCUUGGGAGUGUUUUUGAUGCUUCUGGGGUGGGUGAGUGUGUGAACCGAUCAUGUAGUAGGCAAGCUGCGGAGGGACGCAGUGAGGUAGCUCAUCCCCGGUGAUGGUUGUCCGGGGCUAAGUGUGUGGACUGUCUGGUAGGUAAAUCCGCUGGGCGUGAAGGUUGAGGCAUGAUGGGGAGCCCACGGUUGUGGGUGAGUGAGUGAUCCUGUACUGUCGAGAAAAGCUUCGUGAGCGAGGUGGCGGGUCCGCCCGUACCCUAAACCGACACUGGUGGAUAGGUAGAGUAUACCGAGGCGAUCGAGUGAAUCGUGGUGAAGGAACUCGGCAAAAUGCCCCCGUAACUUUGGGAUAAGGGGGACCUGAGCUGUCGUGCACCCGUGCGGUGUGGUGGCGGUGAGGGGCGCAGAGUCCAGGGGGAAACGACUGUUUACCAAAAACACAGGUCCGUGCGAAGUCGUAAGACGAUGUAUACGGACUGACUCCUGCCCGGUGCUGGAAGGUUAAGGGGAACUGUGAGUGUGAUGCGUAGCGGUGAACUUAAGCCCCAGUAAACGGCGGUGGUAACUAUAACCAUCCUAAGGUAGCGAAAUUCCUUGUCGGGUAAGUUCC
rnacentral:rRNA from 1 species